GGUCAAGCGGUUAAGACACCGCCCUUUCACGGCGGUAACACGGGUUCGAAUCCCGUACGGGUCA
rnacentral:tRNA from 1 species